rnacentral:rRNA from 1 species
GGGAGGAAAAGAAACUAACAAGGAUUUUCUUAGUAGCGGCGAGCGAAAAGAAAAUAGUUCAGCACUAAGUCACUUUGUCUUUAUGGCAAAUGUGAGAUGCAGUGUAUGGAAUGUCAAAUUUCUAGUAUGAGAAAUUAACGAUUUAAGUCCUUCUUAAAUGAGGCCAUUUACCCAAAGAGGGUGCCAGGCCCGUAUAACGUUAAUGAUUACUAGAUGGCAUUUCCAAAGAGUCGUGUUGCUUGAUAGUGCAGCACUAAGUGGGUGGUAAACUCCAUCUAAAACUAAAUAUAACCAUGAGACCGAUAGUAAACAAGUACCGUGAGGGAAAGUUGAAAAGAACUCUGAAUAGAGAGUUAAAUAGUACGUGAAACUGCUUAGAGGUUAAGCCCGAUGAACCUGAAUAUCCGUUAUGGAAAAUUCAUCAUUAUGAUUUUAAUAUUUAUAAUAUUAUAAUAAUGGUGUGCAUUUUUUCUAUAAAGGACAUUGUAAUCUAUUAAUAUAAAUAUAUUUAUCAUAAGAUCUUUUGCGUAAGUUUAUUCAAAUUAUUUUGCUUGCAAUUUAAUAUCGAAUAAAUGCUUUUGAUUUGAUAAAGUGUUGAUAGAUUUAUUAUAUAUAGUGCUUAAAUAUUUAUAUUUUAUAAUAGCAUAUUAAUCAUUGAUUUUUAUGUUUAUUAUAUGCACUUAUAUGAUUAACAAUGCGAAAGAUUCAGGAUACCUUCGGGACCCGUCUUGAAACACGGACCAAGGAGUCUAACAUAUUUGCAAGUUAUUGGGAAUAAAAACCUAAUAGCGUAAUUAACAUAACUUAUAAUGGGAUUAGUUUUUAGCCUAUUUAUAGUCUAUUAAUUCAAUCCCGGGGCGUUCUAUACAGUUAUGUAUAAUAAUAUUUAUAUUAUUUAUACCUCUAACUAGAGCGUACCUUGAGCAUAUAUGCUGUGACCCGAAAGAUGGUGAACUAUACUUGAUCAGGUUGAAGUCAGGGGAAACCCUGAUGGAAGACCGAAACAG